rnacentral:lncRNA from 1 species
CAUGAUGAUUGAUAAAAUUUGAUCGCCUCUUCUAUCUUGUGUGUUAUGAUCUUCUCUCCCAUAUCUGGGUUGUCUACUCCGACGCCGCUCGGGCGUGUGUUCUGUCAGGCUAAGUGAUAUAUUUUCUUCCAGUGAUCUAUUGACAAACCAAGGAUUCCCCCAUACAUUCUGGUAGGAACGGUAUGGUUCUUCUCCAAUGUCUUCUUCCAUAUGAACCUCUCUCUUCGGAGUGUGCUUUUCUUGAGUGACAGGCGACAGACGAUCUUCAUGGUUCUCCCUCGGUAUAGUAGUAAUUCCCAAAUUUUCGUCCACAUGAACUACACGCUCUGACUGCUCUGGAUCCAUUUCACGUCAGGUUCACCACUAAUCGUUUAGUAUCAAAUGAAUAUCAGACAAUCUCUCUAUUACAGUAUCUAAUCUAUUACAAAUGUUCUCCCUUUCUACGUUCAACCCCUAGGGUAUUUAUAUUACUGGGUUGGUCCUUCUUUCUUCUCUUUGGACCUGACCGACCUGGUAAAUGGGUCUGCACGGCCAAGUGGGCCUGCUGGACUUGGUCGGGGAUGGGUCUGGUUUGAUAGACCAGGGGUAUCAUCAGUAGGAUCUUCAAAAUCUUAUGCCUCCUCAUAUAGAUCAGUUUUCAUAUCCAUUGGCCUAUGAACUGGUUUUAGAUUUUCAAGAUCUGCUUUUUUCAGUAAGUUUCGAGCAUAUUGAUGUUGAGAGAGAAUUAGAGACCCAUUUGUUGAACGAUUUACAUGAAUCCCUAAGGAAUAGUGAAUUUCUCCAAGAUCUUUAACUGCAAAUUUUUUUGACAGUUUUGUUGUAACUUGAGCAAGAAAUAACUUUGACGAUCCUGUUAAUAUGAUAUCAUCAACGUAGACUAAGAAAUAUGCUACGAUAUCUUUAUUUUGGUAGACAAACAGAGUUGGAUCCAUCAAACUUUCUUUAAAACCAAGUGUAACAACAAAGUCUCUCAAACAAUGAAACCACGCUCUAGGUGAUUACUUGAGUCCGUAAAUGAAUCUGAUCGAUCGACAAACAUGAUUAGGAUUUUUCGUAUCAAUAAAACCAAGGGGUUUCUUCAUGAACACUUCUUCUUCGAGGAAUCCAUGAAGAAAAGUGUUGGAUAUGUCCAACUGAUCCACUAUCCAAUCAUUCUUGACUGAUAGAGCUAUGAUGAUACGAAUCGUGACUGGUUUGAUGAUAGGAGAAAAGGUAAGGUUAUAGUCUAACCCGUCUUUUUAUAGCAUCCUAUUAGCAACAAGUCGUGCUUUCCUUCUCUCAAAAGACCCAUCUGGAUUUAUUUUGUUGCGAAAAAUCCAUUUGCAUGCUAGAACAUUCUGUUCCGAUCAUCGAACGAGUUCCCAUGUAUUAUUUGCUACUAAUGUAUUGAAUUCGUCCGUGCACGCCAUCCUGGAUCUUCCAUUGCCUUCACAGUUCCUGUUGAUACGGGAGUGGAUGCCGCUAGAUGUAGUGUAUAUUUUGGGUUUGGUCUUCAAAUCCCUUUUUGUAACCGGGUGACCAUACCAUGUAUUCUUGUAUCCGCUGCUUCUUCUGUUUCAGAUUCAUUAAUUUCUAUUUCUUCAAUAGAUUGAUCAUAUUCAGGUUCGAUCGUGUGUUCUGUAGGAGGUGGAGGCGAACACGGACUUUCAGUCGAAGUUGUUAACACUUUUAGGUACACAAAUUUAAUAUGGAAAAUAUCCACGGG